AGAGUUGUAUCCUGGCUCAGAUCGAACGCUGGCGGCAUGCCUUACACAUGCAAGUCGAACGGCAGCACGGGGCAACCUGGUGGCGAGUGGCGAACGGGUGAGUAAUAUAUCGGAACGUACCCUGGAGUGGGGGAUAACGUAGCGAAAGUUACGCUAAUACCGCAUACGAUCUAAGGAUGAAAGUGGGGGAUCGCAAGACCUCAUGCUCCUGGAGCGGCCGAUAUCUGAUUAGCUAGUUGGUGGGGUAAAAGCCUACCAAGGCAACGAUCAGUAGCUGGUCUGAGAGGACGACCAGCCACACUGGAACUGAGACACGGUCCAGACUCCUACGGGAGGCAACAGUGGGGAAUUUUGGACAAUGGGCGCAAGCCUGAUCCAGCAAUGCCGCGUGAGUGAAGAAGGCCUUCGGGUUGUAAAGCUCUUUUGUCAGGGAAGAAACGGCGGUUUCUAAUACAGAUCGCUAAUGACGGUACCUGAAGAAUAAGCACCGGCUAACUACGUGCCAGCAGCCGCGGUAAUACGUAGGGUGCAAGCGUUAAUCGGAAUUACUGGGCGUAAAGCGUGCGCAGGCGGUUUUGUAAGUCUGUCGUGAAAUCCCCGGGCUCAACCUGGGAAUUGCGAUGGAGACUGCAAGGCUGGAGUACGGCAGAGGGGGAUGGAAUUCCGCGUGUAGCAGUGAAAUGCGUAGAUAUGCGGAGGAACACCGAUGGCGAAGGCAAUC
rnacentral:rRNA from 1 species